CUAAUUUUCUACGUUUACAAUGCAGUUUUUUAUACACGUGCAUGUUGAUAAUGUUGUACCGUGCACGUUUAUCACGUGUGUUCAAUUUUUUUGUAGGUACAGGUAGCUUGUAGUUGAUCGGGCGUGUUUAUUUUUUAUAGAAAGGUAGUUACCCAGUUCCUAUUCUUUUUUAUUAUCAGUUUGGAUUUGUUUAUUCCUUGGAUUUGUUUUAUUCCUGUUGGUGGUCUGGUGCGCUCCUUUCAAGGUUUUGUCUUUGUUUAUGUCUGUUAAAGUGUUAGACUAGAGGUGUGCCAGAGUCGGUGGAGUUGGGUUCUGUGGAGUUGUGUUGGGUAAUAUAUUCAUAUCGGCCGGCCUGUUCGUUGGUGGUUUGUCAAUCUUCAGUCGUUGGUGCUGAACUUGUUCGGUGUGCGCUGAGCUGCAGGUGUGGUUUUCGGUGGAGGUCGGCGAAGUUAGCUGAAGGCUGCUUCAGUGCGGUUUCGUGUGAGCUGCGGGCUACUUCAAUGCGGGUUGACGAGGUUAGUUGCAGCCUUCUUCACUGGGCUUUGGUGAAAGCCAGACGUAGUAGUCUAACCAUUAACAAUAAAUCAUUCGAAUGAAAAAGAUCUAUCUUAGAAGUAUUUAUGAUAAAGUUGACUGUUUAACAAGGGACAAUUAAAACUUCUGUAUUGUGAUACCGUAUGUUCUUCAACUCGCUGAAUUGAUGUUCCCCUGUCUUAACUUUGUAAGUUCACUUUCAUUACUCUUACACCCUAAGUCAGUUAGGAUGUUGGCUACUAGAAUAAUCGGAUCUAUACUAUGACUACCUACUCGUCCAGAAAAAAAAUUAUAUAAUUAACCUUGAAAAGACAGUCUACUUCGUUGUUAAUGAUUUGUAUAAACUAAGAAAGCUGUCCCACUUAGUUAGGUACGAUGAUAGACCUUCUUAGAAUAUCUAUGAAAAUCUAGUUUUUAGUAACUCUUUAGUCAAAUACGUAAGUUGUUAAAAUUCCAACACCUUAGGUGUUUUAUAUCCGGUCACUCGUUACUUUAAGUUUAUAAAAAACGUAUGUUAUGUUUCCAUUUCCUCUAUUUUCCUAGAAGUCUUCAAAAAGGUCUAAUAACGAAGCUCAAACGAUGGUACCUGUGUGAUCUUCUUUCCCGUCUUUUUCUAUGUGUUACGAGUUCAUACAAAUGUCAACAUUAAAACUGAAGGUUUAUUAACAAUAAAGAUUAACAAUAUAGUGAUUAUAUGUUUAUAUGUCUACAGUAACCUGAUGAUUGUGUUUACUUCGGACACCUCUGUUCUUAUUGUUUCUUCUUGGGUGUUGGAAGUAUAGAGGCGCUCUAACUUUAGGAUUACGGUCUCAUUCACGUAUACGUAUACCUACAGAGUUUAAAUUGGUUUGGAGGGAGUACACGUGAUUGAAGAGUCUAACCGUCGUUAUCGUUAUCAUCUAGCAAACGUUCUUUUAUAAGUUACCACCAUGUACAGUACACUAUUCACAGUGUUUAACCGAUGGUUUCUUUGGCUGUUCAUAAUAACGUUGUCAACACCAUAUAUAGGUCUCUUCCAGCGUGGAGCCAUUCGUAUAAUACAAUGAUUUUAUACUUGUUGACAAUAUAAUAUAAAUGAGAGGUGAUUGUACUCAACAUACAAUCCAUGGCACAAGCUGAGGUUUAAUCACUGGUAUGUAGAUGAUGUUCAACGUGAAAUAAACUGCUCCUCCGACGUUCUAAAGAAUUAUGUAGACGUAGAUUCAACGACCUGUGUGAUCUACCCUUUAGCCUUCUUCGCGGUUUCUAAUAAGUUGUUAAUACACCUUUUUCUGAAUAUAAAGCCAAUUCCGAGUUACUAUCAUUAGAGUGUAAGCCGUGUGUUUUGAUACGUCAUUUUUCUUGUAAACACGGAUUACGAUUCCAACUCUACGAGAUGAACCUGUUAUUUCGGCUCCUCCAUUUCAGCGUAAUUUAAAAAUGGUAAAAGUCUUAAGGAAUUGAUUAAGUAGAAUGUAUACAACGUGUCCUUGACUACCUACUACUUCAACUGUGGCACAAUUACUUCUUCGUCUUGUACGGCCUAUCUUUCCACUUACUAAAAAAUUUUGAUAUAUGUUUGAAGUCUAAAAUCUCUACACAGAUUAAAACUUUAAGAUAUACUAACGUCAGUUUCUUAUUAUUUCAAAGUGGACCGCUUGAAAGUACGCUUGCCCACGGACACUUUCUCCUCGGUUUACUAUCGUUACCCUGAUGUAAUUUGUUUCUAUUCGCAGUUCUGUUUCAUAGUAGCAGUAGUGCACACGAGGCUUCACCGUUAUUUUCCUCUGAAUCUAGACAACGUUAUAGUCUAUCGAGUCUCCUACUUACGUGACUCUGCUUAUACGGACUUGUUUUCCUGUUUUCCGGUUUUUAUGUUACGAACUUCUACUUCUACUUCAUACCUUUCGUUUCGGGUCCUCUUGUUCCUACAAUAGAUCUAUUAAUCACUUAGUCAUCGAAUACUUUAUUUAUCAUGCUGUCAUAUAAACAUAGUUGGUACUAUUCAUUCUCAUGAAUUAUAGCUAGUCCUAUUCUUCCUAUGAAUAAUCUAAUUCCCACACUUACAAUGGUUACAAGAAUCAGUAGAUCUAUUAAUCACCUAGUCAUCGAAUACUUUAUUUAUCAUGCCGUUAAAUAAACAUAGCUGGUUCUAUUCAUUCUCAUAAACUAUAACUGGUCCUAUUCUUCCUAUCAUAAUCUAAUUCCCAGACUUACAUGGUUACAAGUUUUGUCUAUCAAUUGAAAGAAGUAGAUCAAAGGAAAUACAUGUACGAUAAAAGCCGUUUAUACAUAUUCCGCUCGUGUUAUCCGUCUUUGUAUGAUGUUAUGAUCUCAAAGGUGUAAUCCAAAGUGAAGUGUUAAACUUCUUUAAUAUGAAACGGUUUAGAUAUACUCUGGUCGUGUUAUAUCUCCUUGUACGAAGUCAUUUAAUUAUCGUCUUGACCUAUAUUCGUUUAGUUGCUGCAGAACGACCUUUGAUCUUAUACAAAGAGGCAAUGAACUAUACCAAUGGUCUACAAUGAACUCUUUUAAGUUGUUCACUCAAAAACGCGUUGUUUGGAUAUGGUUUUAAUUAUAGGUUCCAUUGUAUAAUUGUGUGUGUUCUAUUCCGGAAACGUCAAAUUCUUUUAUUUGUUCUUUAUUAGAAGUCAUGUCUCCUACGUUUAGUAGUCAAAUGUGAAUGUAAAUUAUCAUUAAACUGUCCUUCUUGUUACUCCUCCGGUCGUUCUUGUUUCUCCUCCGGUCGUAGAGUGACAUCAGUCUAGGUUAUUAAGUGGUAGUCACCUACUGAGCCACUCAAGGCAUUGUCGGAGGAGGUAACCUAGUUUGAUGUUAUGGAGACGGUACCAAGAGAUCGGCAGCCGGUACAGUAGUGGAACCGGCUUUGGGAACUCUUGCGAGGCGGCCUGAGGUGCUCCAGCAGCUCCUAGGUCCAGGAACUCUUACGCGGGCGCGUGAGGCGCGUUGACGUCUGACGCGGUCUGCUUCUCUUCAACCUUCUUUACUUAGUUGUUCACAUCAGCGCUACCAAACCCUUAAUCAAGCCACUACCGUUCGCCGUUCUAGAAGUAGUCAGCCUAUUACCUUCUCCACCACGUCCGCCUACCUAUUCCAACGACCACCCCUAACUAACUCGACUCUCUAUAAAAAGAAAAUAUUUUCUACUCUCAAGAUGUAUCUACUGCUGGACAUACCCAACAAAUAUGCCCCACCAUUAAAUGAUUUACUGAUUGUACCCGGGGGUAGUUUUGACGACCCGGACUUAUCCGAAGUAUGCACCACAUACAUUUGAACCUAAACCUUAAAAUAGAGAUAUGGCAUUAGCAAUGGUUGAGUCAAGGAUGAGGAAUAGCCUUGAGUCAAGGAUGAGGAAUAACCUAUCCGACUAUGCUCGUGCACAAUCGCAUGACGGGAAUUUAUCGACCUUGUUUGUGAAGCCACUUGGUGCCCUAGCAU
rnacentral:rRNA from 1 species